UCCCGAAUACACCAGAAAAUCCCACCUACUCUGGCAGAAGCUCCCAGCAAGCUUAACUGGGUCUAAUUCCACUCUUCAUCAACUUUGAGAAAAGAGUAAGAGAGUCGGGUGGAAGCGUGGAACUUUCCAUGGGGACAUCAGCAGUCGGGAGACACCCAGAAGCGCUGCUGUGGGCCCGCCAGCCCCCAUGUGACCUUCCUGUCCAUCUUGCUCUGGGCCUUCCGGGGGGAGGCCGGCCCGCACGGACCGCAUCCCAGUGUCCUCUGAGUACCUGCUGAAUUUGGAUCACAAGGAGCCUGGACAGGAGACUGGAGGACGGACAGAAGGGGGGCCAGGCCCAGACUGGGAAACGGUGCUUCUUGAGCUCCCCACUGGCCCCUGGGUGGCAUCUCUCUCUCCAUUCAACCUCCUCCGUCUGCAGGUUCCAGUAACUUCCUCUUCCGUCCUCUGCAGGCCUGCGCGGGAGUCUGAUGUCGGAAGAGGCAGAAGUUGUACCCAUCCCACAGAUGGGGUAGCAGAGGCUGGUCAAGGUUGAGCUCAAGUUCCAGGAGAGAGCAAGAGAGCAAGAGCACACAAGCAGGGGGAGCC